rnacentral:rRNA from 1 species
AAGCGCUUGCAACCAGACUUGCACCCCGUCGAUCAUCCCCCGUUCUCGGAGGUGCACUCGGCGGGGUUCAGGCCAGCAUCGGUUUUGGUGGUGGGAUAAAGGCCUUGGGAACGUAGCUCCUCUCGGGGAGUGUUAUAGCCCUCGGUGCAAUGCCGCCUACCGGGACCGAGGACCGCGCUUCGGCUAGGAUGCUGGCGUAAUGGUUGUAAGCGA